ensembl:lncRNA
GUGAAUAGGCUGGAUUUGGGCGCGCAGGCAGCCAAUGGGAAUCGCGUAUGCGCUCAGCUUGCAGUGGGACGCUCAGGAACGUGUACUACUGCGUGUGUGGUGUGGCACAGGGAAGCGAAAAAGUGUGCCACACAAUAAGCACUCAGUUGCGACCUUGAAGCACCGCGAAGACCAGCUUAAACAAAAUAUAGUUUAUAAAUCGAAUAGUUCUGACUUUUUUUUUAGGACUCGCUGGAAACAGGAGGCUGGCAGUAAGAGACGACACUGCAAAUCUACAGAGCCAAGCCUGCUGAGUUAUCCAGCUUAUUCAGCCCAUGUCAGCUCCACCUGCAGCACACCAGCAUUAACAACCCGUGCACACCCACUGUUCAGUAAAUCACACGUAUCACAUCACAUAUGAAUAUGCAAAACAUAUGACAACAGCUGGUUUUUAUUGCUCAUGCAUGUGUUAUGUGCAAAUAAUGAUCAGAUGGACUUUAUUCUACAACCAGGAACAUUUUGUCUGAGCAGGUUCAUUUUGCUGGUUGUUCAAAGCAGCUGUAUGUAUCCUCCAUACUGGAUCAAUUCCAUGGGGUAUUGAAUGGUAGUUUAGAACAAAAAAAUAGUUGGUGAAAUAAAAAUCAGGAAUCAAUCUGUGCAUCUAAUUAAUAUAAACUGUUCAAAUUUAAAACAAAAAGGUUGUUUCAUUUAAGAUAUGAUUGUAUGAUACUUGCAGCUAUGGAAUAUAAGACUGAGGCUGGUAUAUUUUUUAUUCAUUGCACAGGGGACUCAGCAAUGUGAGUCCUUCAGGCUUAGUGUGUAAUGAUUUGAAAAGACACAGGAUAGAGGCAAAUGAGUCGGGGCACCCUUUGACCCAUGGAAAAUUGUGAGAACAAAUGGGUUAUUUCCCUUACUUAUGCUGCGUUUAUGUUGGCUUGUAAGUGGUAAUUUGCAGCUUGUAAUGAUGGAAUUUCCCAUCUCUGCAUGUUUGACAGGCACAGUGAGAAACAAAAUAUGCCAUUACAAAAGCUCAUAAAAACCUCUUUUAACUGCACUUUUACAGUUACAGGCCUGAGUGGCUAUUUGUUCUGUUCUACUACAGUGAACUUCAAUCAUACAGCAGCAACAGUUUGGACUGAAAUUGUAGUACAGCAACAACAGUGGACAAUAUCAAGUAGCCAGUCAGCUCAGGUUAGAUAUAUGAGUGAUAACAUUGAUGGUUAUCUUCGCAGAUCUGUGAUUAUUAUGGUCAGUGUUGUAGAAUAAACCAAGUACUGUCUGUGUCUGUAUAUUAAUUGAUCUGAAACCAAUACUGCUAUAAACACAUUUAAAAUAGAGAAGGGGGACUUUACACUGGGCAGCCAUGUUGAUUUUAUGUUGCUGUGUAAAUAGGGAAGGAUUUGAUAGUUGAAAAGUUGAAUUUUCGGGGGGGGUGUUUCUGUGGUUGAAGGCUGUGCAGCCUCGUCUCAAAUGCAGCAUUUAAUUAAUAAGCAAUUAAUUACAAAGGCAGGCUUACAGGAGACCGCUACGUUCAUCAGGAAAAACCUGCUGUGAACAUGCACGAAUUUGUCACUAUGGCAUUGACUGUAAACAUAACACAUGACGCACAAAUAAGGUGCAGGUAUGCAAUGAGCGGAUGACUAAAUGUUAUAUUUUCAUGUUCUACAGUUCUGUGAAAAAAGUGAUUUCUUCUGUUUUUGUCUAUAUCUUUUAAGGCAACGUUUGUAAACCUAAAAUACAGUUUUUCAAUUAAUGUUAUUUAUUGAAGCAAAAAACUUAUCCAAUACCAACUGGGCCUGUGUGAAAAUGUGUUUGGCCCCGUAGUUACUAAUACCAAAAAUCUAUAAAAAUGCAUUCAUAAUGGGGUUCAGCUGGACUAGACACAACCAGACAUGAUUAUUGCAAACUCUGUUCAAUCAAAUCAACACUUGAAUAGAACGUUUUCAACAGCAUGAAGUUGGUUAAAAGGUCUUACCCAGUAACACACGAUGCCAAAAUUGAAAGAAAUUCCAGAACUGCUGAGGAAGAAGGUGAUUGAAAUACAUCAGUCUAGGAAGGGUAAUAAAACUAUUUUAAAGGCUCUGGGACUCCAAAGAACCACAGUGAGAGCCAUCUUCUCCAAAUGGAAAAACUCAAACAGUGGUGAAUCUUCUCAGAAUUGUCUGACCUUCCAAAAUUCCUCCAUGAGCACAGCAAUGACUCAUCCAGCAAGUCACAAAAGAGCCAAGGACAACAUCAAAGGAACUACAGGACUCUCUUGCAUCAAUAAAGGUCAAUGUUGAUGAUGCUACUAUCAGAAAGACACUGGGCAAAAAUGGCAUGGAAGUGUGGCGUGAGGUGAAAAUCACUGCUAACCAAGAACAACAUGUGAAUUUGAAUUUGCUCAUCUGAAUUUUGUCAAAACACACCUUGAUGAUCCUCAAACCUUUUGGGAGAAUGUUCUGAUGAGUCAAAAGUGGAACUUUUUGGAAGACGGGUCCUGUUACAGCUGGCAUAAACCAAACACAGAAUUCCACAAAAAGAACAUCAUACCUACGGUCAAGCAUGGUGGUGGAAGUGUGAUGGUGUGGGGAUGCUUUGCUGCUUCAGGGCCUGGGAAACUUAAAAUAAUUGAGGGAAACAUGAAUUCUGCUCUCUACCCGAAAAUCCUGAAGGAGAAUGUCUGGUCUUCAGUCCGUAAGUUGAAACUCAAGCGCAACUGGAUUAUGCAGUAAGACAAUAAUCCAAAGCAAAUGUAAAGAGUAAAUCCUGGUCCUAGAAGUAAGUUAAAGACUGAUCUCCAGUGAUUUGAUUGCUAUAUCCUAUACAAUGAAUUGUAAACUAUAUUAGAUUCGUGCAUGGACACACAAAAAAAAUCACAGCACAAAUUACUUUCAUUUGUGAGUUUGCAGACAUAGUGGUGUCGAGUCAACUGCAGUUUGGCUUACUGCAUGGUCAUUAUUUUCAUCUAAAUUCAUAUACUGAGUGUCUGUAAAAAUUUGAUGACGUUUGAGCUACUAAAUAUCCCAAAUGCAUUCUAAGAAUGGCAGAGAUUUGCUUUCUGAGUGCUAUCAUUCAAUCUUUAGGAAAUCCUUUAGGAUCAUUAGGAAAUGCAGAGAAAUGGAAAAACAAUAAUGAACAUGGUGGAAAAAAUGACUACCUUGUAAAUACCUCGUAUAUUAUUAUUAUUAUUAUUAUUAUUAUUAUUAUUAUUAAUGGCACUUUUCAAGAAUAUUUACAAUGACAAGGUGCAAGUUAUCAGGACAACUCAAAUGCCAAGCAGAUGAUGACCUCGUGAGGGGCAACUUAAUCUGCAGCUGAUUGACUUUUAGACGUCAGUAAACCCUUGGUACGCAUACCUGCGUGUGGGCUUUGUCGUGUUUGAACCUGAGUACUUCAGCGAGAGCUUCAUAAACAUGAGAAUGCUUGCCAGUUUUACUCAAAAUAUGUUUGGAUCCACUUAUACAUGUUAUUUUUCACACGAAUACUCUCUGUCCAAGACUCAUAUUCACCAUUGCCUUAGGAUGGUCUUAAUUUCAUUUAAGACAACCAUUUCUUUUGUUUUUCCUAGUUCAGAAAGUGCACUUGUUCAAAUGAGAAGGGAAAUUGUAUUAGAUGUAAAAUAGGAAAAGAAAAUAUGCACCAGAUAUAUUCUUAAAUUAAAUAUAUAGUAGAUUUAGGGCAGUGGUGGCUUAAUGGUUAAGGCUUUGGACUGUGGACCUUUUGUUAAUUGCACACAGGAGUCUUUUCAGUGCAACCUGUGACUUUUUUUUUUUUUGAGUGAGGCUGUACGUUUGAGAUAAGCUCAAGGUUUCUUUAGGGGGAGUGAGCACAGGCGCGCACACACAAUGUGUGUAAGUGUUUAUGUAUAAACUUAAAAAACAUUUCAACACACAAGAGGGUUUAGAAUGGGAAUAACAUGCAGGAAACUGCAUGACCAAAACUACACAAAUGACCCAUGUCAGUUUCUAAGUAGCUGCCACUGUAGAGCAGUAAUCACAGUUUGAUUACUACACACGGUGUAUCUCUGGUCUUCUCUGUUUUAUGCAUUCUAUCUCUUGAACAUAUCUUCUCACUGUUGUAUUUUUUUUUGUAACAGACCAGCUGUGUAGUCUUUUUAGUGCAACUUCUCGGUGUUCAAAUGAAGUGCAUUAAAAUUAUUAAAGGUGGAUGCAAGCUGUACUCGAACAUGUCAUAUGACUCUCACAAACUCAGGUGAGUGAAUUCCGGGUGUGCGACAGCAUCCACUGCAGCUUCUGUCCGAAAAUGUCUAGCUUCUGUCUGAUGAUGACUGAAAAUGAAAUGCACAUUCUUAUACCAUGUUCUGUCUGAAUACUCGAUUCUGAUUGGAUGGAAGGUGUGCGAUCUGUAUAUGCACAGCCUUUUUGGUGAAAUUCACCACACAGACCAGCACUCAGCUGGUGCUCCGUAACUGUGACAGUCGCAUCAAUGUGCAGCAUCAAGUAUUUCAUUUUUCUAACACUUCUGUAAUACUGAGGAAAUGGGAGCAGAUAAUGUCCUCAGAGUCAAGAAUAUUUGGGCCACAUCCCAAACGGCAUACUAUCGGUGUACUUUGUCUCCUAGUUUAUGAUUAACUAAGGGGUUUAUUACUGUUAAGGAACAGUACUUAGUGAGAAUUAUGCUGUUUUUGGAUGCAGCCUUGAAUUUUUUUCUGAAUUUAUAUUAACUGGCCAUUGACAGCCAUGAGAUUAAUCCACAGAGUAGAGAAGAGGACAGCAUAAACAACUUCAUAAAAUGUUCCUCCUCAAGAGCUUACAGUAGCAUUUCUCUACCAGAGAGGGCAACAUUUCAGUACCUUACUGAGGAGCUUUAAUAUUUAGGAUUAUUACUAAUUACUUACUUAGCCUGUGAGUAGGCAGUGGCGUUUCUGGAAUUCUGGGGUGUCCUGGGCAAAACCCCAUUUACGCCAUUCACCAAACAUCAUGUUACUCUCACUGAUUCAUUUACACAUUAUUUGUAUGAAAUUUCUCUCUUUCUCUCUGUUUUUAGCUAUUUACAUUAUUUAAUCCUACCUUGAAUCUGACUGCACUACAUAUAACUGUACUGAACUGUUUAGUAUCAUAUCCAUGAUUUUCCCAAACCUGACUUCCUCAGCUAUUUUGUUUUCAAGAUCUAAACAUAUAGCUCUGUCUACAUUAGCAUUUAGCCCUGUGAGGGACAUCGUUAUCUGGUGGAGAAGCAUUGCUCAGUAUCAGGACCUGCUAUGAGAUCAGGGAAUGUGACAUGCUCCCUUGGUUUAUACUUCAUUAAACUUUUUCAUUUCACACCAUCAAAUUCUGGCACCCUGUAAUUAAUGUGAAAUAUGCUGAAACACUGGUUUACACCAUUGUUAAAUGAUGAUCAUUUUCUUAUCAGUCUUCCGGAUCAAACUCUCAAUAGACUUGAGUUUAUUCAUAACUUACUGAGUUCUUAAACACAUUCAUCAGACACAACAUAUAUCCUAUUUUUUUUGCUGUGAUCUAUUUUCUUUUUGAAUACAAUGUUUUUUUUUUUUAUUCUACCUUCAGCAGCCUUACAUGCUCCAGCCUCUACUUCUCAAUCACUUCUUUCAGUUUUACCAUCUUUCUUGUACAUUCAGGUCUUUUAUCACUGGUGGUCUACUUUCCAAGCCAAAAUAUAUUCUCAAUACUGAAAUCUCAUUAGAUUUUGCCUUACAGUAUCUGCUGCAGAUUGUGUUUUCGCUGCAGCAUUGCCAUUUGUUAUUCAAGUGGGUUUUAUUGUCACAUAGCUCAUAUGCAUUGCAUAAUUCUUCAGGACUAUUGUGCAAAACAUAAUACAGUAGCACAGUACACAGCACUACAUACAGUGCAAAUACACAAGAGUGUGAAGACUGUGCACACUAAUUACACAGUCAACCAGAACAGUAUUGUAUGCAAGUAUGGAGAAAAGUGUAGCAGCAAGAUCAGUGUGUCUUGAAAUGAUCUCUAUAAAUAAACUUAAUAAUAAUAAUCCAUCCAUAUUCUAUAACGCUUAUCCUUACUGGGUAACGGGGAACCUGGAGCCUAUAACAGGGAGCAUCAGGCACAAAUGCACCUAUAAUAAUAAUAAUAAUAAUAAUAAUAAUUCUAUUGCAUUUUUAUUUUUUAUUUUUUCUACCCUUGAGGAGAUACCUGCUUGACUACAUGUAAUUGGCGUGUAGGUGGUGUGACGUCUGUAUAAUCACGCAGCGUUGUCUGAUCUGAGUUCAGCAUCGUGUGUGAUCUUUACAAUGGCAGAAAGAGUGCAGAAAGAUUUAUCAUGUACGUAGUGAACCUGCUGAUCUAACAUAAACCCUAGCCCGCUGUUUACGGGCUGCUCAGUGCGCUUAUAUGAGGUGUAAAAAACACUUAUGUGAUUGGCUAGUCAUUUCCACCAUUCAGCGUUGAGCCAGGCUUGACGAAACCACCGCUUCGGACACGUGCGCUGUGUGUUUACAAGUGCGCGGGCCGGUCACCGCGAGCUGCCAGCCAAUCAGCGCGCGCGCUGUCCAAAAGGCUUUACGCAAUAGGUCGGUCGUGGCGUGGGGGCGGAAACCCGGCGGCAGCGCUCACGCGGACCUGUGGCUCGGUACAACAAGCGUGUGUAACACCGACGUGGAGAUGAGAGACAGUAGGAACUUGUCAUCUUCGCUGAGAAACAGUUCCUGUCUGCAUGCAGCGCUUUGUUUUUACCGGUGUACGGUGGGUGCAUGUAAGUCUCUUCAGUGGGAGUGUUUGUAGUGCUGUAACUUGCAGGUGCUUAGUUACUGGUUAACAUCCAAAACCCUCCCUACUUUUUAGAUAAGUGCACUACAUAGGGCAUGAUACUGAUAAUCAUUGUUUCUACACAGGAGGAAUGAAGUACAUGCUCAGCAGGGAGCCGUUUGGGAUUUGACCGUCAUAAAUAGCGAAUAUUAUGAUUUAUAUUAUAAAACAAACUUGUUUUGUAUUUAACAAGUUUAAAGACUAUUUAGCAUACACACCGUAUAAACCAUGCACAAACGGUUAAAUACAGUGAUGUAUGGUUUCCGCCUAGCACGUGC